GCUUUGGCGAUGCAGUUUCUGCAGUCUGCUCUACUGCUUUAUGCUUCAAGUUGCUAGCAGUGCAGACCCAGCAGGCUAUGUGGGAUACAGAAGCUCUGGAGAAGCACAUCAGAGGAGCCCCAGCACACAUCAUGAGACUGCCUGCUCUAUUUCCUCUGGCAGACCUGGAAGAAGUACAGCCUGGGAUGAGCAUGACUGAACAGCAAAUAAGCAGAGUGUAUUUGUCUCUGUCUGGAACGUUUUGUGUGUAUGAGACAGUCCCACAUGUUUUUUCAGGACCACCCUGUCUUGUUUUGAAUGGUGUUCACAGAAACCUGAGUGUGAUGGUAGUAAAUAAAGAAAAGGUUGUGGCUGUGCUGGGGAAGCUCCCCUAGCUGGCCGUCUACUUAUUUGUGUUCUUACAUUGCCACCCUCUGGAUUUAAACACUGCCACUCUAUGGGCAGUUAAGUUUGAGAAAGGCACGCUUAUAAAGUACAAGCCUAAACACACCACUGUAGACAUGCAUUGUUACUAUCACUAUUCAAGUACAUUCAUCUCUUGUAAAUUUCUCAUCUGUUGCUGUAAAGAUUUUUUUAAAGGCUGAUUUGAGGAAGUGUAGCAGAGCUACAAAUCUUUUGAGUGUUCUCCAAGCCCUCCAAAAAAAAAAAAAAAUAGAUAUGAGAAUUGAUGAUAGUCUGCAUGAGCUGAAGAAACUACACCCUUCUCUAUACUGAAUAAGAGCAGAGAGUAUUAAUUGAACAUUUGUGGAGGCAAGAAUACACUAUAAGUUCUAACUAUAGUUAUAGGUAUAAGGUUAUUUGGCCAAAUCACCCAAGUAUGAGGUUCAACAAGGGCAAACAUUGGUUCUUGCACCUGGGGAGGAAUAACUACACACAUCAGAAAAAGUUAAGGAAUGACCUGCUGGAAAUCAUUUGUGAGCAGAAGAACCUUGAUGUCCUGGUGGGCAACAGGUUGUCCAUGAGCCGGCAGUGUGCCUUUGCACCCAAGAAGGUCUAUUGUACCCUGGGGUGCACCUAGAAGAGUGUGGUCAGCAGGUCAAGGGGGUAAUCCUUUGCCCUGGUGAGGCCACAUCUGGAGUAUCAUGUCAAGUUCUGGGCUCAGUUCAAAAAAGACAGGGGCUUCUAGAGAGUCCAGCAAAAAGCCAUAGUGAUGAUUAAGGUCCUAGAGCAUCUCCCCUAUGAGAAAAGUCUAUGAAACCUGGGACUUCUCAGUAUGGAGAAGGCUGACAGGGGAUAUUAUAACUUUUAUGAAUAUCUGAAGUGUGGGAGUUAAGUCAAUGGGAGCAAUAGAACAAGGGCAGAAACUGGAACACAGAAAGUUCAUACAAACACAGGGAAGAACUUUGCUGUGAGUGACAGAGCACUGGAACAAACUGCCCAUAGAGUUUGUGGAGUACCCUCAUCAGGGGAUAUUUAUAGCCCAUCUGGAUGCCUUCCUGUGCAAUAUUCUGUCAGGAAUCUUCUUUAGCAGAGAGGUUGGACUCGAUGACCUCGAGAAGUCCCUUCCAACCUCUAUAAUUCUGUGAAUCUGUGAAGUACACUGAAUACAGAUGCCAUGAAUACCAAUCCUCACACAAGAACAACACCUACUGCUGCACCAUGUUGAAAUUUGCUCUUUCCCAAGUAUUGAAGGAUAUAUUCAGUCUUCCUGACCUACAUUUCUAUCAAGAGAUUGCCAAUGAAAUUCUAACAUCUGUAGUUGUGUGAAUGUCAGAUGUACAAAACUGAAAGGGAAGAAAGUGCAGGAUACCAAGUAAACACUUGUAUCUUUUCAUAUAAAAUGUAAAAACUAAUUUUAUAUAAUAAAUACCUUCAUUCAGAAUUGCUCAUAUCUGAGAAAGUACUGCAUUAAGAAAAAAUGGUAAGCAAAGUCUAUGCAUGUUUUUGCUAUAGGAGGGAUGAUGUAUUCUUUUCAUGAAGCAUUUCAAUUACUUUCCAACAUUUGUGGCCUUGUCAUUCCAGCUGUGUAUGGCAUUGUACUUGGUACUUUUUAAAGAGCAUCUUAUCAAUUGAAGAGAGAUGCUGACAAGACUGAAAAGAGCACAGUGAAGACAGUAAAGGGGACAGAGUGGCAUACAAAGAGAAGCUGAAUAAACUGGAUUUUUUUAGCCUUGAGAAGACAGGGAUGGUUUCUAACUUCAGUUCUCAGUUAUCUCUUGGAGAGUUACAGACUACAGAUUCUUCAUGUGGGUGCACAAUGAAAGAACAGGAGGCAACAACUGCAGUUGCAGAAAUGAGAAUUUGUGCUAUUUAUAAAAAAUUCCCCUUCAACACGAGAGUGGUUAAGUUCUACAGCAGAUCACCUUGAAAAACUGUGAAAUUUGCUUUACUGAAGAUUUUCAGAUUUGGUGGGACAAGGUCCCCAAGACAUACUUGGGGAAUAGGUUACCACAUGCUACUGGGGAAAGAUGAGGGGUUUAAAAUUCUUUUAUGCUCUGACUGUCACAGUGCAGAAUUCCUGAAGAAAAAAACACCAGCCUUCCAAAAAUGAUCCUCUGUGAAUAAAGAGUGUUGGUCAUAAGAGGGAAGGCUCCUUGCUCCUUUGUGUUGUCAGACUGUUUAACACAAAUACAAAGUUUGAAGAGUGAAAGAUCUUCCAGACUAGAAUUGAGAUAUAAUUAAUUACCUAUCAACCUGGUUUGCAGUCACAGAAAAGGUCUGCAGAAAAAAAAUUCUCUUCAAAAGACAUUUUUAAAAAUCGAUUGCUUGUUGAGAUACAGGGAGGUAGGACACAUGAACUGGUACACGUUACAACUUUAACUACCAUCAUAAAGGUGCCACUUUAACUCUUAGUAAACAAAAUGAUGGAAUUUUGCAUGGUAACAUUGUGAGUUCCCUUGUGAAACCACUCCAAC
ensembl:lncRNA